UUUACAAUAGUAAACUCCAUUUUGGAUACAGAGAUUAGCAUGGCCCCUGCGCAAGAAUGACACGCAAAUUCGUGAAGCAUUCCAUAUAAAA
rnacentral:snRNA from 1 species